AUUAGUUAGUUGGCGAGGUAACGGCUCACCAAGACUAUGAUUGGUAGGGGAACUGAGAGGUCAAUCCCCCACACUGGCACUGAGAUACGGGCCAGACUCCUACGGGAGGCAGCAGUAGGGAAUAUUGGGCAAUGGACGCAAGUCUGAACCAACUAUGCCGCGUGAAGGAUUAAGGUCCUCUGGAUUGUAAACUUCUUUUAUCUGGGACGAAAAAAGGUCUUUCUAGAUCACUUGACGGUACCAGAUGAAUAAGCACCGGCUAACUCCGUGCCAGCAGCCGCGGUAAUACGGAGGGUGCAAGCGUUAUCCGGAUUCACUGGGUUUAAAGGGUGCGUAGGCGGGCAGGUAAGUCAGUGGUGAAAUCCUGGAGCUCAACUCCAGAACUGCCAUUGAUACUAUCUGUCUUGAAUAUUGUGGAGGUAAGCGGAAUAUGUCAUGUAUCGGUGAAAUGCUUAGAUAUGACAUAAAACACCCAUUGCGAAGGCAGCUUACUACGCAUAUAUUGACGCUGACGCACGAAAGCGUGGGGAUCAAACAGGAUUAGAUACCCUGGUAGUCCACGCCCUAAACGAUGGAUACUCGACAUACGCGAUACACUGUGUGUGUCUGAGCGAAAGCAUUAAGUAUCCCACCUGGGAAGUACGUUCGCAAGAAUGAAACUCAAAGGAAUUGGCGGGGGUCCGCACAAGCAGAGGAGUAUGUGGUU
rnacentral:rRNA from 1 species